AUGUUAAAUUGUAACUUAAAAUUUCAAAUAUAUGGAACACAUGAGGAAAUUUUGCAUAAAUGCAGCAAGUCUGUUUUCUCAACCACCAAUUUUCACUCCAAUUAUAUAGAAGGAACAUUCCCAAGGCAUGUGAGGAAGAUGAUUCUGGAGUGUGCGUGGAAGAAAGAUCUAAAGGCAUCACCAUGUUUGAGUAAACUUGUGUGUGUGGUUCUAACAUUAGACUGGAGCACAGAUCUGAACAAAACUUUGUAUUUGUCAACACCCAGUGUAUUCCACAAGUUACAUAAAAUCUACAUAAAUAUCUAA